rnacentral:lncRNA from 1 species
GCAAUUUCUGGCCAACGUAAUACCACAUAACCAAGUAACAUAAGAGGGAAUGAGGUAUAAACUAAAGCAUUUCUCUAAAGCUUAUUUUUCGUUCUCAAAAGCUAUUCAUAAAAUUAAUUUAGAGUUUGUUAGGCAUAUUAUGAUUACAAAUGUUGUUAACUGGUCUUCAAAGCUUCUCAUAAUCGUUGUCUUCAACCUCAGACGGGCCUUAGAACCAUUAAUAAAUGCGUCAAACCCGAGUAUGUAAGGUGAAGGAGGGUUAGGGGAGAGCAUGAAGAGUUGGUAGAUUGGAAAGUUCACUUGAGAAAAGCCAGAAUAACAUUACCUCUAAAGGCCUAGACUAAAUAAGUAAUACUAACAUGCACCAGUACCAAGACAUUAGUACCUAAAAAGUAAUACUUACAGUUUUAGCUUGAAACCUGUUGAAAAUCAUCAAUGAACUGAAUAGGUAUCAACUUCAGAAUGAGAAGUUACAGAUUCUAGAAAACGUUAGCUAAAGACACUAAGUACUAACAAUAACACGAGUAUUUAUUAGCAAAAUGAAAAUUAGUGAUUAUAGCAAAAAUAAGUUGAAGAGUGUCAAGCUAAGUUUAAUAUUUACCCUUCUUCCAAGACUUUUUUUCCCCACUUUCUCUUUGGAUGCUGGUGCUUCUCAUCCAUUACUCAAUUUGCAUCAGCCGGAACCCGUGCAAGGCUUCUCAAAAAAAUAAUUGCUUCAAAAUAUCUCAUUUGCGAUCCAUGAAGCAAAAUGUCUUCAGCUUUUUUCUUCUCUAUAUCAUACCAAACAAGCCUGUCUCCAUCCAACUCCAACAAAACUUCCAACCAUCUCUUUGAAAAACCCAAAGGUCUAAGAGAGCCAUAUUUCAGAUCAGUAUGUGAAAUUGAAAAGAGUUUAAUCCAAGAUUCCUUAACCCCAUAUUCUUUCAUCACCCAUACAACAACACCCACACCUUCAUGAUUAACGGUUAAGCAUAACCAUGUUCCUAAUAAACCAAUAUCCAUUCCAGACUCAUGAAACUCAGGCAGUGGAUCCUCUCGAAAUUCAUCAGUCACAAGAUCAUAAACCAAAAUUACUUCCGAACUGCUCGGAUUAUCAUAUCUAAAAGCUAUCCAAUGCAAAGCCUCAUUAGCAAGCACACCCAUCCUAUGACUAGUAGGAACUACAAAAGGUAUUUUAACUGCUCUUACAAUUUUGGUUUUCACUUUACAAAUCAGCAUUUCAGAUUUCAAGAACCAACUCUUAGCAGUAUUAUGCACUUGCGCAAUCCUCACAAUCUUAUAAUCAUCAGAGACACGAUCAUACCCGAACCCAUAUCCUGACCCGCGAAACCAAGUUCCAUCCCAGGUCAAAUUAACACAACUAUGGAAGUUAAGAGGCAAAAAACCUGGAAACCAAUGAUGCUUUCGAGUAGACGGGUUCACUAUGAGAAUAUCAUCGUUGCUUUCGUUCCUCAAGCAUAUCAAACCAUUGCAAGACCCGACUAAUGAAACAGAACGAGUCCGGGAACUAUUUGGUAGCUCACGGAACUCCAUAGUCCCACAUGAAUCGGAGCAAUCGAAGUCGUAAUCAUAGAAUCGGCCAUAUUCUUCUUUGACGAAGAGGGUUUUAUUGGUGCUGGUCUUGAUGGAGUGAUUGAUUUGGUGUUUGAUAAAAUCAGGGGCGUCAAUUAUGGCAAGCCACUUUUUGGACACGGACCUGCAGCGUAGAAGAGUCUGCACCUCAGCUCGAAUUAAGAUUUCGAUCACGAUUUCUGGCGGAAAUCGGUCGGCCAUAGUUAGAAUUCACCUGCUCCGUUCGAAAAUUCCGUUCAACGGCUAUCUUCCAUUUAUCCGGACAUACAGUGUACACUGCAACCCCGUUUAGAGGCUUUUGUAAUUUUUUUCCGCCCUAAAUAAAUCUAGAGGCGUUGGCUUAUUAUUUAUUUAUUUUUCUCAUUCUAAUUUUAUUUUUAUAUAAUUUUAUAUUUAAAUAAGUUAAAAAAUAAAUAAAAUAAAAAUUUGUGAUUUUGUAUAGUAAUUUAUAAAUAAAAUAAAAAUAAAUGAUAAAUUAUUUUAAAUUAGUUGAAUUAGUAGAAAAAAAAUUAAUAAUGAGUUAUAUUUAUAAUUUAUUUUGUUUUUCAUUUAUUGGCAGAGACAUGAGCGGAAAUCAUUGAAUUUUUAGUUGCUUGUUGAAUUAACAUCAACAAUGAUUUCGAGUAAAAAGGAAAUCUUAAAAAAAAAAAAAAAAAAAAAUCACAAACUUAUUAGAUCUCUCAACUAUAGCACUUCAAAUAUCAGGGACAAAUCAUUGACUCCAAAUAAAAUAAAAUAAAAUGUUAAAUCAUUACAUCCUAAGCACGUCCCAGGUACUGAAGUAUCAUCUGUUAAAGGGAUAAUGACACGUUAGGUUAGUUUUUGACACGUUGAUUCUAAGAGUUAGAUAUUAAAAUAGACAUUAAGUGCACGUUGAUUAUCAUAUAUUAUUACGAGUUGGUUGUUUUAUGAACAACGAGUUCCAUAUGAGCCUUGCCUCUUCACCUUCUUUGCUUUUUAUUUAGUAUUUACUGCAUACGGUUUAUUGGGUGCAGAGGGUUUUAAUUUUGGCUAAAACUUUAAGUUUGGCCUCAGAAAGGGAAUUACUUUUAGUUUGCUGAGGAAUUAGAAGCAAGUAUAUUUUUUCUAUCUGCACUCUUUUACGAAAAUGAUAAUUUUCAAUAUCUUGACAUUUGCAUUUCUCUUACACUUAUUUUAUUGCUUUAUGACAUUACUUCUUUAAUUUUUGGAGAUUACUUUAAUACUAACAAACUAAAACUCAUUAGUGAAAUCAAAAUUAUUCUAUAGCUAAGGAAAACACACCUCGUAGCCAAAAGAAAUUGUUGUUAACGCAAAGAAAGAAGCUUGAAUUGAAAUAUUUAAAAAAGCAUCAAACAUUUUGUUUUAUAAGGUUUUGGCUUAUUUCAAAAUAACUUUUACAAAAAUAAAUUUUCACAUUUUUUUAAUAUUCAAACAUUCAGCAAAAUUUGUUGAUGUUUGAAAUUUAAUAAAGAGUAGACUAAAACUAUAUUUUAAUAACUUUAGUUUGGUUUAUUUCAUCUCUACUUUUUUUUAUUCCUUUUUCUCUUUGUCUUCUAGAUUGUAUGUACGGACGUACAAUUUUUGUUGUAAUCCUUCCUGAAUUGAACUUAAAUUGUUUAGGGUAUUUUCAAUAUGAUUUUCACUAUAGUUGGCUAUGUAGAUUUUAGUAAGUGAAAUGAGGAUAUCAAUUGAUUUUUGAAAUCUAAUAAAAAACUUCAGGAUAUAUUUUGAUAAAUUUGGUCUGGUUUUCCUCCUCUUUAUUUUUUUCUUUUAUCCUCUAAUAACGCGUAAUCGUCAUUCUGUAUUAGUAUUUUCUAUCAUAAUCACCCUUAGUCAUACAUACAGAGUUUAGUCAUAUAUACGAAUAUACUGCACAUUUUUUCAUCGUCAAGAGACCAUUUAAUUUUAUCUUGGACUAAUUUCAGAUAUUACGAGUCUACUACUCCACGAAUUCAACAGGUUAAUCAAGUUGAGCUUUUUAUAUAUAGGCUCGAUCCGAGUUAAGUCUGUCAAAGCAAGUUAUGAACGAAGUAGACCUACAUAUUGAAUACUAAUAGAGUUAAGAUUUGACCUUUCCCGGGCUCAGUUAUGGCCAAAAUGUACAAGGCUAAAUUAUCAUCAUUAGUCAAUAAAAGUAGUUUUUUAGACAAAAAAAAAAAAAAAAACCUUCCUUUUUUGCAUUUUAAAAAUUUUAGAAAGAUUUAUAUAUAUAAAUUUAUUAAUAUAUUUUAUUUUUAAAUUAAAAUUAAAUAAUAAAAAAUAUAUUAUUUUAUUAAAAAAUAUUUUCUAUGGAAUUUUUUUUGUUAGAAUGACUUGAGUGUGUCAGAAAAUAUGAAAAAAAAAAAAAUUCCAUGAAACAAACCAAUCCUAGUCAAAACAAUAUUCCUCAAUAUACUCAUUAAUGAGCCUGCCCCUCAAGAUAGGAUGUCAAGGCAUAAAGUGAGAGUUUUCAGGGAUGGGUUUGAUUUCUUCCCAUAAUUGCACUUUUUACUGGUUGAUGUAGAAAAAGAGAAAAAUAAUCCAAACGGCAGCUGACUAUAUAAAUACUACCGAAAAAUAAAAGAAGAAUAAUUAAAGGGAUUAUCAGAACUCCAAAACUCAGUGUCAUUGCCCAAAGAGGCAUGGUGUAUUUUGUAUUGAGACUGUGAUUGAAUCAAAGAUGAGCGUUCAACUUUUGAAUAAUUUGGAAGCCAAGACAAGCAAAUAAUAAAUGGGUGAAUGUGUGUGUAAUAAUGAAAAGCCAAGCCAACAACAAGUGAUGGACAGUUUAUAAGGAACCAAAUGUCUUAUCUUUACUUUCACUGUGCAUUUCUCCUCCUUAUACAUAAUUUGCCCUCCAAAAAGAAGAACUCGAUUCCUUUUUAUCUUUGCAAUUAUCAUGAUUCGUACAAAGGAAGAUAGAGAUAGAUACUAAAGGGAAACCAAAGACCCACCACAUGCUCCUGACUGUUAAGGAUGUUUUUGCAAACACUCCUUUGAAUUAGGAAACUUUACUCACUUUGCUACACUUGCUUUGCUUACAUCCAUCCCUUUCAUCACAAAAACAUUCAUAAACAACAAUCCAUACGCAUUCUCUCUCUGUCUCUCUCUCUCUCACACCCCAAAAGGAAGGAAACUCAACUGUGAUAGGUAAGAGACACGGAUUGGGUAAAACCAAAGCACUAACACUACUCAAAAUGGAGCCGUUGACGUUCGAUGGAGAGUGUGCUUUUUGGGAUGCUGAGUGGAAGCAGCUAAUAGUAACUGCCCAAAAAUAUAUAGACACGACAUCAACUUGCGUACAUUAAACAAAAGGAAACAAAGUUUACUUAAAAAACACAAUUAGCUUCCACAUGGCUGUUAAAAUUUGGUAAAUUUAUUUCCUUAAAUCAAUAACCUGGAAUUUAUUAUGAUUACUAUUGCAACUCACCUCCUCUUGCUGUCUCUUGAGCCUCGCAUUUUCUUCCAUUAGAUGUUCUAUUGCGAGCUCUAGCUCAUUUGUAUAAGCCUGCAAGAGAAGAAAAAUGGCGCCGGAAACAGAUUCAUAACUUGAAGAAACUGAACAGGAGAAUCAGAAAAACUAACUUGAUAAAUAGUGCUAAUUAGGUAAUUUCCUGUUUUCUAGCUCUCGAUCGAGCUGCUGAUUCUCGGUUCUUGAUCAUACGCUUAUGCCGGCGAUCGCAGGAACUGUUAUCAGAUUCUUGAACUCUUUUUUUGCUAAAAGAAGAUGAAUCCAAAGCCUCGAAAGGACUAUUAAAAGAGGAAACAGGAUGGCUGGGCAAAUGCGAGGUAGGCCUAAGUGGAUAAUCAGAGUUGUCAAGAAAAUCGAACCCAGGACCUGUGUUUAAGCUGAGAACAGUAGCAGGCGGUGGCACAGGAGAGCCAUAUAGAGCAGGAUCUCCUUGAGCAUGAGCAGACACUCUUCUCGUUUGUGGAUCUUUGCUAAAGGGUCUAGCAAAGAAGUCUUGAAGAAUAAAGUUAGGGUUGCGAUGCUGAUUAUGGCGAGUGGGAGCGACAGCGAUGUCUUGAUCGCCGGAAGAGUGAUCAUGAAGAGAAGCAAGAUUGAUGUCUUUCCAGACCUCUUCCAUGGUUGAAGGCUUGCGGUUCUGAUGGAGGAGAUUGGAAGGCGGAAAUGGCUGAGCAAACGAAGACGCGGAGGAUGAUUUAGAAGAGGAAGAGAUUUUUGUUAUGGUGCUGCGAGUACUUACUUGGUUUCUUUACCAGCCUUGGAGGACAUCAAAUAUUGGAUAGAAGGUAAUCUUGGAUAUGGGUGUACGGUUAAUUAUCCAAUAUCGAGUUGAAAUAUUAUAUUUAAUUGGUUAUAAUUAUACUAAUUAAACUUAUUUUAUGAUUUUAUUUUGUUUUUUUUAUUAAAGAUUAAAUUAAAACUAGAUUAUUUAUCUCAUGUUAUUUUUUAUUAAAUCUCUCAGGUUAUUAUUUAUCUCUCUAUCGUCACUAGGUUAAUAUUUAGUUUAUAUAAUGUACUAUUAAUCUCUAUAUAUUAAAAUAUCGACUAUAUAUGUAAUAAGAUUAGCUAAAG